rnacentral:rRNA from 1 species
UAAGACGUAGGAUGCAAGCGUUGUCCGGAUUUAUUGGGCGUAAAGAGUUCGUAGGUGGUUCGUUAAGUCUGAUGUUAAAGAUCGGGGCUCAACCCCGGGAGUGCAUUGGAUACUGGCGGACUGGAGUGUGGUAGAGGCUAGUGGAAUUCCCAGUGUAGCGGUGAAAUGCGUAGAUAUUGGGAAGAACACCGGUGGCGUAGGCGACUAGCUGGGCCAUAACUGACGCUGAGGAACGAAAGCCAGGGGAGCGAAUGGGAUUAGAUACCCCAGUAGUCCUGGCUGUAAACGAUGGAUACUAGACGUAGCGGGUAUCGACCCCUGCUGUGUCGCAGCCAACGCGAUAAGUAUCCCGCCUGAGUAGUACGGCCGCAAGGUUG